rnacentral:siRNA from 1 species
UGAAAGGGCAUUCCUAACAAUUUC